rnacentral:lncRNA from 1 species
UUUCUACUUCAUUGCACAGAACCCUUGAGAACAUAUUGAUGCUCUGAAAGAUAACCCCAGAAGAGUAUGAGGAGACAUACACAGUCUACACAGAUGGGGUUUCACCGUGUCAGCCAGGAUGGUCCCGAUCUCCUGACCUCGUGAUCUGCCCGCCUCGGCCUCUCAAAGUGCUGGGAUUACAGGCGUGAGCCACCGCGCCUGGACGUUGCCGCCAUAUAUAAAGGAGUGCAAGAGUCCAUAAAACUUACUCCCUCUGCUCUUGAAGGUGAACAGCACACUUUAGUAGCAAAAGAAAAUUGGUAGUGAAAGCAAAACAAGGAAAGAAAUCUCUCUGGGCCCUGCUUCUGUUUCUCAAAAGAAUGCUGAAAGUCACCUGUUCUCCAAAGGUAUGUGCCACCAAAUCAAGGAAAAGCAAUAGAAAGCAGCCCCAAAAUGAAGAACCAGGUAUCCUUACAGGAAUAUAGUGAACCACAAAGGGCUAUGUGAAAAUGCAUUUGCUGCAAGCGGGAACAUCAGGGGAAUUUGGUGCCUCCAACCAAGUUAACAUAUCUUUCAAUCACUUGUGAUAUUGCAGAAUAAUGGCAACUACCAUGGAAA